rnacentral:rRNA from 1 species
UACGAAGGGUGCAAGCGUUAAUCGGAAUUACUGGGCGUAAAGCGUGCGUAGGCGGUUGCUUAAGUCAGAUGUGAAAGCCCUGGGCUCAACCUGGGAAUGGCAUUUGAAACUGGGCAGCUAGAGUGUGAUAGAGGAUGGCGGAAUUCCCGGUGUAGCGGUGAAAUGCGUAGAGAUCGGGAGGAACAUCCGUGGCGAAGGCGGCCAUCUGGAUCAACACUGACGCUGAGGCACGAAAGCGUGGGGAGCAAACAGG